rnacentral:rRNA from 1 species
UGAGGAAUAUUGGUCAAUGGGCGUGAGCCUGAACCAGCCAAGUAGCGUGCAGGAAGACGGCCCUAUGGGUUAUAAACUGCUUUUAUGCGGGGAUAAAGGAGUCCACGUGUGGAUUUUUGCAGGUACCGCAUGAAUAAGGACCGGCUAAUUCCGUGCCAGCAGCCGCGGUAAUACGGAAGGUCCGGGCGUUAUCCGGAUUUAUUGGGUUUAAAGGGAGCGUAGGCCGCGUUUUAAGCGUGUUGUGAAAUGUAGACGCCCAACGUCUGCAUCGCAGCGCGAACUGGGACGCUUGAGUACGCGCAACGUUGGCGGAAUUCGUCGUGUAGCGGUGAAAUGCUUAGAUAUGACGAGGAACUCCGAUUGCGAAGGCAGCUGACGGGAGCGGCACUGACGCUUAAGCUCGAAGGUGCGGGUAUCAAACAGG